CUAUUUGUUGCCUCGGCGGUGCCUGUUCCGACAGCCCGCCAGAGGACCCCAAACCCUGAUUACAUUUAAGAAGUCUUCUGAGUAAACCGAUUAAAUAAAUCAAAACUUUCAACAACGGAUCUCUUGGUUCUGGCAUCGAUGAAGAACGCAGCGAAAUGCGAUAAGUAAUGUGAAUUGCAGAAUUCAGUGAAUCAUCGAAUCUUUGAACGCACAUUGCGCCCGCUAGUAUUCUGGCGGGCAUGCCUGUCCGAGCGUCAUUUCAACCCUCAAGCCCCCGGGCUUGGUGUUGGGGAUCGGCGAGCCUCCGCGCCCGCCGUCCCCUAAAUCUAGUGGCGGUCUCGCUGUAGCUUCCUCUGCGUAGUAGCACACCUCGCACUGGGAAACAGCGCGGCCACGCCGUUAAACCCCCAACUUCUGAACGUUUGACCUCGGAUCAGGUAGGAAUACCCGCUGAACUUAAGCAUAUCAA
rnacentral:rRNA from 1 species